GACAGAGGCCUCGAGCGUUAGGCGGAAUCACUGGGCUUAAAGCGUGUGUAGGCAGACCCGUAAGUGUCUUGUGAAAUCCCCCGGCUCAACCGGGAAACGGCUGGGCAUACUGCGGGUCUGGGCCGACUAGGGGCAGCCGGAACAAGCGGUGGAGCGGUGAAAUGCGUAGAUAUCGCUUGGAACGCCGAAGGUGAAAACAGGCUGCUGGG
rnacentral:rRNA from 1 species